rnacentral:rRNA from 1 species
GACGAACGCUGGCGGCGUGCUUAACACAUGCAAGUCGAACGGUAAGGCCCUUCGGGAUACACGAGUGGCGAACGGGUGAGUAACACGUGGGUGAUCUGCCCUGCACUUCGGGAUAAGCCUGGGAAACUGGGUCUAAUACCGGAUAGGACCCUGGGAUGCAUGUCCUGGGGUGGAAAGCUUUUGCGGUGUGGGAUGGGCCCGCGGCCUAUCAGCUUGUUGGUGGGGUGAUGGCCUACCAAGGCGACGACGGGUAGCCGGCCUGAGAGGGUGACCGGCCACACUGGGACUGAGAUACGGCCCAGACGCCUACGGGAGGCAGCAGUGGGGAAUAUUGCACAAUGGGCGCAAGCCUGAUGCAGCGACGCCGCGUGAGGGAUGACGGCCUUCGGGUUGUAAACCUCUUUCAGCACCGACGAAGCGCAAGUGACGGUAGAUGCAGAAGAAGGACCGGCCAACUACGUGCCAGCCGCCGCUGUAA